rnacentral:rRNA from 1 species
GACGGAGGGUGCAAGCGUUGUUCGGAAUUACUGGGCGUAAAGCGUACGUAGGCGGCGGGUUAAGUCGAAUGUUAAAGCCUGGGGCUCAACCCCAGAGAUGCACUCGAUACUGGCUUGCUAGAGGGUGAUAGAGGAAAGCGGAAUUCCCAGUGUAGCGGUGAAAUGCGUAGAUAUUGGGAGGAACAUCAGUAGCGAAGGCGGCUUUCUGGGUCACACCUGACGCUGAGGUACGAAAGCGUGGGGAGCAAACGGGG